AAUAGAUACCCUGGUAGUCCUGGCCCUAAACGAUGUCCACUAGAGUUGCGGCCGGGUUUGACUCCGUCGCGGUCGAAGCAAAAGUGUUAAGUGGACCGCCUGGGAAGUACGGUCGCAAGGCUAAAACUCAAAAGGAAUUGACGGGGGCUCACACAAGCGGUGGAGCAUGUGGUUCAAUUCGAAGCAACGCGCAGAACCUUACCUGGGCUUGACAUGCUAGGAUUACCCUCGUGAAAGCGAGGUAGGCCCCGCAAGGGGUACAACUAGUACAGGUGCUGCAUGGCUGUCGUCAGCUCGUGUCGUGAGAUGUCGGGUUAAGUCCCUUAACGAGCGAAACCUUUACCCUUAGUUACCAGCGGGUUAUGCCGGGGACUCUAAGGGGACCGCCGGUGUCAAACCGGAGGAAGGUGGAGAUGACGUCAAGGUCCUCAUGGCCUUUAAUGCCCAGGGCCACACACGUGCUACAAUGGCGUCCAUAAAGCGACCCUAAAACCGCGAGGUCAUGGAAAAUCGCAAAAAAUGACGCCCCAAGUUCAGAUCGGAGGCUGCAACUCGCU
rnacentral:rRNA from 1 species